UACGUAGGGACCAAGCGUUGUUCGGAUUUACUGGGCGUAAAGGGCGCGUAGGCGGCGCGGUAAGUCACUUGUGAAAUCUCUGAGCUUAACUCAGAACGGCCAAGUGAUACUGCAGUGCUAGAGUGUGGAAGGGGGCAAUCGGAAUUCUUGGUGUAGCGGUGAAAUGCGUCGAUAUCAAGAGGAACACCUGAGGUGAAGACGGGUUGCUGGGCUGACACUGACGCUGAGGCGCGAAAGCUAGGGGAGCAAACGGG
rnacentral:rRNA from 1 species